rnacentral:rRNA from 1 species
GACGAACGCUGGCGGCGUGCUUAACACAUGCAAGUCGAACGGAAAGGCCCUGCUUUUGUGGGGUGCUCGAGUGGCGAACGGGUGAGUAACACGUGAGUAACCUGCCCUUGACUUUGGGAUAACUUCAGGAAACUGGGGCUAAUACCGGCUAGGAGCUCCUGCUGCAUGGUGGGGGUUGGAAAGUUUCGGCGGUUGGGGAUGGACUCGCGGCUUAUCAGCUUGUUGGUGGGGUAGUGGCUUACCAAGGCUUUGACGGGUAGCCGGCCUGAGAGGGUGACCGGCAACAUUGGGACUGAGAUACGGCCCAGAGUCCUACGGGAGGCAGCAGUGGGGAAUAUUGCACAAUGGGCGGAAGCCUGAUGCAGCAACGCCGCGUGCGGGAUGACGGCCUUCGGGUUGUAAACCGCUUUCGCCUGUGACGAAGCGUGAGUGACGGUAAUGGGUAAAGAAGCACCGGCUAACUACGUG